CCUACGGGUGGCAGCAGUGAGGAAUAUUGGUCAAUGGACGAGAGUCUGAACCAGCCAAGUAGCGUGAAGGAUGACUGCCCUAUGGGUUGUAAACUUCUUUUAUAUGGGAAUAAAAUGUUCCACGUGUGGGAUUUUGUAUGUACCAUAUGAAUAAGGAUCGGCUAACUCCGUGCCAGCAGCCGCGGUAAUACGGAGGAUCCGAGCGUUAUCCGGAUUUAUUGGGUUUAAAGGGAGCGUAGGUGGAUUGUUAAGUCAGUUGUGAAAGUUUGCGGCUCAACCGUAAAAUUGCAGUUGAAACUGGCAGUCUUGAGUACAGGAGAGGUGGGCGGUAUUCGUGGUGUAGCGGUGAAAUGCUUAGAUAUCACGAAGAACUCCGAUUGCGAAGGCAGUUCACUGGACUGCAACUGACACUGAGGCUCGAAAGUGUGGGUAUCAAACAGGAUUAGAUACCCUUGUAGUC
rnacentral:rRNA from 1 species